GACGUAGGAUGCAAGCGUUGUCCGGAAUUAUUGGGCGUAAAGAGUUCGUAGGCGGUUGCCUAAGUCUGAUGUUAAAUACUGGAGCUCAACUCCGGCAUGGCAUUGGAAACUGGGUGGCUAGAGUGUGGUAGAGGUCUCGGGAAUUCCAGGUGUAGCGGUGAAAUGCGUAGAUAUCUGGAGGAACACCGGUGGCGAAAGCGCGAGACUGGGCCAUAACUGACGCUGAGGAACGAAAGCCAGGGGAGCGAAAGGG
rnacentral:rRNA from 1 species